CCCUUAGGCGUUCUGGGCCGCACGCGCGCUACACUGACCAGUGCAACAAGCAUCCGUCCUUGGCCGACAGGCCCGGGCAAUCUUUGAACGCUGGUCGUGAUGGGGAUAGACUUUUGCAAUUUUUGGUCUUCAACGAGGAAUUCCUAGUAAACGCAAGUCAUCAACUUGCAUUGAUUACGUCCCUGCCCUUUGUACACACCGCCCGUCGCACCUACCGAUUGAAUGGUCCGGUGAAGCCUCCGGAUUGGCGCGCACCUCGGUGCCGCCGAGAAGUUGGCUAAACCUUACCAUUUAGAGGAAGGUGAAGUCGUANCA
rnacentral:rRNA from 1 species